rnacentral:rRNA from 1 species
UGUCUCAGUUCGGAUUGGAGUCUGNAACCCGACUCCAUGAAGCUGGAUUCGCUAGUAAUCGCGCAUCAGCCACGGCGCGGUGAAUACGUUCCCGGGCCUUGUACACACCGCCCGUCAAGCCAUGGAAGCCGGGGGGUGCCUGAAGUGCGCUGCCGCGAGGAGCGCCCUAGGGUAAAACCGGUGACUGGGGCUAAGUCGUAACAAGGUAGC